rnacentral:tRNA from 1 species
GAUUAGGUAGCUAAGAGGUUAAAGCGAUGCACUGUUAAUCCAUUGGGGUUUCACCGCGUGAGUUCGAAUCUCAUCCUGAUCA